rnacentral:lncRNA from 1 species
AGGUAAAAAAAUUUCAAUACAAGAAAAUCUCCUUUAUGCUUUAUUUAAUGCAUGAGAUUUUGAAUUUUUAGGUGUUCUAACUUCCCAAUGCUUAAUGUAUCUUCUUCCUUUUGAAGUUUAUAACAAAUUGGUAACAUGGCCAUUUUAUCAGUUGUGCAAUCAAAUCUGGAUUCUCUGUUGUCAAGGGAUGUCGAUCGUUGAAUGAAGAUCAGACAGUUCAUAAUUUGCUUUGCCAAAACUAGGUUUAAAAUACAUUUUGAAACAUAAAUCGUAUGAUCUUAUCUAACGGUCUAAAUCUACGAAUGUGUUACUAUAGAAAAUUCAUAUCACCUACCACAACAGAUAUCAUAUGCAUUUAUCAUGUUCAGCUUUAGAAAUUGAAUCUUUCAUCACUGCUGAUCUUGUUUUCCAUGACUCUCUACCUAGGUGGAGGAAGAGCUUAAAACAUACUCAAGAAACAUUACAGGGGUUCCAUAUUAUGUGGUAGGUAUACAAAAUAUUAA